rnacentral:misc_RNA from 1 species
UCUGGGUUUUUUUUUUUCUACUUGAAGUGGGUUGUUGUCGAAUUUGAUGAAUAUAUUGUUUUUUCUUUAAAAUUUUAGUUUUUUAUCUGUUUCCAAAAGUUCAGGAAUUCUUUUCAUGGUCUUGACUCUUGAUUUCUGAAAUUCGCUUAAUUUAUUGAAAUUACUUGUUUAUUUUUCUAAUUUGGAAGAGAAAAAGAAAACAAAAGAAUUUUUAAUAUAUAAAUUCCUUAUAUUUCUUUUUGUUAACCUGUUUAUAAAUUUUA